UUUACUAAAAAAGAAACAAAACCAAAAAAACGAAGAGGUUAUUUAACCCCAACUAAGCACUGCUUGCAUAGACCCAUGAUCACUG